GUGUCAGCCGUCGCGGUAAUACGUAGGUGGCGAGCGUUGUCCGGAAUGAUUGGGCGUAAAGGGCGCGUAGGCGGAUCACUAAGUCUGUCGUGAAAGAUCAGGGCUCAACCCUGUGCUGCGAUGGAAACUGGUGAUCUUGAGUGCAGGAGAGGAAAGUGGAAUUCCCAGUGUAGCGGUGAAAUGCGUAGAGAUUGGGAAGAACACCAGUGGCGAAGGGGACUGUCUGGACUGUGUCUGACGCUGAGGCGCGAAAGCUAGGGGAG
rnacentral:rRNA from 1 species